CAUGUCUUGUAAUUGGAAAGAAGUAGAAUUUAAAUCCCUUUACGAGUAUCAAUUUGGAGGGCAAGUCUGGUGCCAGCAGCCGCGGUAAUUCCAGCUCCAAUAGCGUAUAUUAAAGUUGUUGCGGUUAAAAAGCUCGUAGUUGGAUUUCUGCCGAGGACGACCGGUCCGCCCUCUGGGUGAGUAUCUGGCUCGGCCUGGGCAUCUUCUUGGAGAACGUAACUGCACUUGACUGUGUGGUGCGGUAUCCAGGACUUUUACUUUGAGGAAAUUAGAGUGUUUCAAGCAGGCACACGCCUUGAAUACAUUAGCAUGGAAUGAUAAGAUAGGACCUCGUCCCUACCUUGUUGGUUUGUAGAGAUGAGGUAAUGAUUAAUAGGGAUAGUCGGGGGCAUUCGUACCUAACUGUCAGAGGUGAAAUUCUUAGAUUUGUUAAAGACGGACUACUGCGAAAGCAUUUGCCAAGGAUGUUUUCAUUGAUCAAGAACGAAAGUUAGGGGAUCGAAGACGAUCAGAUACCGUCCUAGUCUUAACCAUAAACCAUGCCGACUAG
rnacentral:rRNA from 1 species